CAGUUUCCCAAACUCUGAAAAUCCCAAAUAAUGAUUCAGAAAACGAGCAUUAUAUUCAUCAAUAACAUACACAAGUCCAAGUCUGUGACAUAAUUAAGACAACGAAGACACAUCUCCACUAUUAAGCCAAAGAAACUGACACAUGAAUA